UACAGAGGUCUCAAGCGUUGUUCGGAUUCAUUGGGCGUAAAGGGUGUGUAGGUGGCGCCCGUAAGUCGGGGUGUGAAAUUUCGGAGCUUAACUCCGAAACUGCAUUCGAUACUGCGGUGCUUGAGGACUGGAGAGGAGACUGGAAUUCAUGGUGUAGCAGUGAAAUGCGUAGAGAUCAUGAGGAACACCAAAUGGCGAAGGCAGCUCGCUGGGACGUGACUGACGCUGAGACGCGAAAGCGUGGGGAGCAAACAGG
rnacentral:rRNA from 1 species